rnacentral:lncRNA from 1 species
AUACUCAUAAUUUUACUUCAGUUUCAAUUUGACCCUAAUAAAUGGCAUGUUUCAGAGGAUGCGGGAUAUUGUCUCGAUGGGUCCCACUAAGUUAUUUGUGUCUUUCAAUUGGGCCGUUUUCUUUUUUUUAUUCCCGAUUUUUAUCCCAUUUUUAUUAAAUUUUAAUUUAGUCAUUUUUCCUUUUUUAUAUAAUUUCAGCCCUAUUUUAUUUUAAGUUUUUUUAUAUUUUGAGGGAAUUUAGUUUUUUUUUCUCUGUCUUGUUUCUAAUUUUGUUUUAUGUUCUAUUUGUUUUUAUUU